AUGCAUAUAUGUGAUAUCAAGGGAGCAAAAAAUAAUAUAGUAGGCUAAGAAAACUAUACCAAUUAUAUUAAACUUUUCCCAUAUUGUUGUUUCCAUUUUGUUACGUUUUUCUAAAUGAAUUUGAUAUCAUAGACCAAACAAUUUUACAAACGAAUACGUUCAUUUGUGAAUACCAACCUUAAAACCAUCGCUGUUGGAGGUUGCUUCUUCUAUUGAAGUUAAGCGAUCCAUGAAACGGUGAUGACCUGAGGCGUGGAACAGUU
rnacentral:snoRNA from 1 species